UCUCUCAGUCGAGACACAUCACUUCAACAUAAAAUUGUGCCUUGGGUUUCGCAACCACACUCGUUAACUCGAACUUCAUUUGUAGAGCGCUUUUCAUACACGACGGGGUAACUAACUGCUUCACAUUGUUAAAAUCACAACCAUGAAUCUGUUUCAGACAAGCUGGGCAUACUCUUGGUUCAGCGCCUCCCCAACACUCCAAGAACCCUUUUCGAGGUGGAGCAAACCAGCGGCCCAGGCUUUAGCCUAUCCACUGUAGUUUGCUCCCUUCUCAAAGUAAUGAAGAGGUGGUAGUGCUUGACAGUCCAAAUGAAGUCGACUUGAGCAAGAUACUGAACGUCCAGGUGAUCCUGAUGCUGCAUCACCAGGAGCUGAAUGAUAACUCAAGUGCUAUGUAUGCCUUGCAGGUGGAAACGUGUAACAGAAGUGUAAGCCCGUUUACUCCGUUUAGACACGUGUAUAUUGGCUGCAGUGCAGUUCUGGAGGUUAAUUCAAAUGUGGAUGAGUCUGCUAUGUUGCAACUGUAAUUCUAGGGGGUGCCGAAUGAGGGGAGUUAAUCGCUCGGUAAAAAAAAAAAUAUAUAUAUCAAAUAGGCCCUCUCACACAAUAAAGUGCCAAUUUGACAGCCCAAGUAAUUAUCUUUGUUUUGUUGGACAGUAAAUUUCAAAUGGAAAUGGCAACAAACAGCACAUAGCCUUUUUUUUUUUUAAAGAAUUGUUCACCGUCUGCCAAACUGCUGCCUGUUGUGAAGGGAAUUGAGUUGUCUGCCAGCAUAGAGUGCCUGUUAAACAUUUUGAUGCAAAAAACAAUCAAAUAGAAAA